GACGAACGCUGGCGGCGUGCUUAACACAUGCAAGUCGAACGGAAAGGCCCUGCUUUUGUGGGGUGCUCGAGUGGCGAACGGGUGAGUAACACGUGAGUAACCUGCCCUUGACUUUGGGAUAACUUCAGGAAACUGGGGCUAAUACCGGAUAGGAGCUCCUGCUGCAUGGUGGGGGUUGGAAAGUUUCGGCGGUUGGGGAUGGACUCGCGGCUUAUCAGCUUGUUGGUGGGGUAGUGGCUUACCAAGGCUUUGACGGGUAGCCGGCCUGAGAGGGUGACCGGCCGGAGUGGGGAUUAGUGCAGGGCGGGCGGCCGCCGGGCGGCGGAAGUGGGGGUGAUGGAUGAGGGCGCGGAGGUUGAACGCAGCAACGGCGGGUGCGGGAUGGUGGGUGUCGGUAUGGAGACAAGUUGCGCCUGCGAAGUAGCGGGAGGCACGGGGAUUAAUAGAGCAGCACGCACUAGCUAGGUC
rnacentral:rRNA from 1 species